rnacentral:rRNA from 1 species
ACCUGCGGAGGGAUCAUUACCGAGUUUACAACUCCCAAACCCCUGUGAACAUACCACUUGUUGCCUCGGCGGAUCAGCCCGCUCCCGGUAAAACGGGACGGCCCGCCAGAGGACCCCUAAACUCUGUUUCUAUAUGUAACUUCUGAGUAAAACUAUAAAUAAAUCAAAACUUUCAACAACGGAUCUCUUGGUUCUGGCAUCGAUGAAGAACGCAGCAAAAUGCGAUAAGUAAUGUGAAUUGCAGAAUUCAGUGAAUCAUCGAAUCUUUGAACGCACAUUGCGCCCGCCAGUAUUCUGGCGGGCAUGCCUGUUCGAGCGUCAUUUCAACCCUCAAGCACAGCUUGGUGUUGGGACUCGCGUUAAUUCGCGUUCCCCAAAUUGAUUGGCGGUCACGUCGAGCUUCCAUAGCGUAGUAGUAAAACCCUCGUUACUGGUAAUCGUCGCGGCCACGCCGUUAAACCCCAACUUCUGAAUGUUGACCUCGGAUCAGGUAGGAAUACCCGCUGAACUUAAGCAUAUCAAAGGCCGGAGGAA